UACGUCCGCCCCUGUUUUCACUACCAGUGGAGGUGAAGCACAUGGUUUUUAUGCAUUUUACCUGUAUGUCCAACAAGACCACAUGCAGUUACAGCGGCUCGGCUGCGGUGUGUACGAGCACCCAUAAUCGUUUUUAUAAAAGAAGAACCCUUCAGUUAAACCUUUCUCCGCACAGCGCAUCAUCUUUUGAUCUUUGACAUUUACAGCCUCCUAGAUGAAAGGUGGAAAUGUGUGAGUCCCCGGGAACAGCAGAGAUCAAGAGGGGAAGCAAUUACAUUCCAAAUUCCACUUUACUGUUUAUGCCAUCAGCUUCAGAAAGUGCCCCUACAGCAAAA